rnacentral:lncRNA from 1 species
CGGUUACUGUCGAUAUACAGAUGCAUGAAUAAAAGUCCAAAAUAUCGGUCGCAUUUACCGGUCAUGUUAGAAGUAACGGGUAUCGCCAUUUUAAAAAUAAAGUCAGAAAAAAAAUUCAUUAGUCAAGUCGAUACGGAAAAGACAAUAUUUUGAAAUGACAGUUUUACGUUUUCUACCUAAUUGCAUUGAGUGUGUAACCCUAAUGCCAAUAAGAGAUCAUAAUACAC